GAUGAACGCUGGCGGCGUGCUUAACACAUGCAAGUCGAACGGAAAGGCCCAAGCUUGCUUGGGUACUCGAGUGGCGAACGGGUGAGUAACGCGUGGGUGAUCUGCCCUGCACUUCGGGAUAAGCCUGGGAAACUGGGUCUAAUACCGGAUAGGACGAUGGUUUGGAUGCCAUUGUGGAAAGUUUUUUCGGUGUGGGAUGAGCUCGCGGCCUAUCAGCUUGUUGGUGGGGUAAUGGCCUACCAAGGCGUCGACGGGUAGCCGGCCUGAGAGGGUGUACGGCCACAUUGGGACUGAGAUACGGCCCAGACUCCUACGGGAGGCAGCUGUGGGGAAUAUUGCACAAUGGGCGCAAGCCUGAUGCAGCGACGCCGCGUGGGGGAUGACGGCCUUCGGGUUGUAAACUCCUUUCGCUAGGGACGAAGCGUUUUUGUGACGGUACCUGGAGAAGAAGCACCGGCUAACUACGUG
rnacentral:rRNA from 1 species